UGUCAUCUGAUCCCUGUUUUGGGCCAAUGUUUUGAGCAAUCCCGCCGUGAGGCAUACAACAGGCAGCACUGCAGGUUUGUAGGCUGAGUCAAUUAAAAGCGUACCCAGGUGCCCAAUCUCUUGACUCCAGACACAAGUCUAUUUCUCCCAUGUCACAGAAGAAACCCGUGAGUUAGUUCUGCCCAUGAAACUGUACCACUAAGCUAACUUCAGGAAUCCUAUACCACCAGAUAAAGCCAUUGCUGGUGUAUUGUGGCAGUGUUUUGAGAAGUAGUCUGAGGUCCCACCACUGUCCGGUCUUUGAUUCUAAGGGCCCAUGAGACUAAAGUGGGGGCAAGAAGUCACUGGCGUGCUGUUGGUUGCUCGCCCUCGGUGGAGCCUGGUGUGCAGGGUCAGCGGGUACAAGUGCACACGUUUGAACUCCAGU